rnacentral:rRNA from 1 species
GACGAACGCUGGCGGCGUGCCUAAUACAUGCAAGUCGAGCGCUGACGGAUGGUACUUGUACCCUCUGGAUGAGCAGCGAACGGGUGAGUAACGCGUGGAGAAUCUGCUUCUUAGCGGGGGACAACAUUGGGAAACGAAUGCUAAUACCGCAUAAAACCUUUAACCACAAAUUUUAGGUUUGAAAGAUGCAAUUGCAUCAUUCAAGGAUGAAUCCGCGUUUUAUUAGUUAGUUGGUGAGGUAAAGACCCAGCCAGGCCAAGAUACCUAGCCGACCCGGGAGGGUGGACGGCCCCAUUGGGACUUGGGCCCGGCCCAAGCCCCUUCCGGGGGCAGCAGUAGGGGAUCUUCGGCAAUGGGCGGAAGUCUGACCGAGCAACGCCGCGGGGGGGGAGAAGGUUUUCGGAUCGGAAAACUCUGUUGGUAGAGAAGAACGUUGGUGAGAGUGGAAAGCUCAUCAAGUGACGGUAACUAACCAGAAAGGGACGGCUAACUACGUG